GGGCCUAUGUAGUUGAAUCCAUGGCUAAAAUGUGGAGCCUCAUAAUCCCUUGGUUUCAGGUUCGAAUCCUGAUGGGCCCACCA
rnacentral:tRNA from 1 species